GACCUCGGAUCAGGUAGGGAUACCCGCUGAACUUAAGCAUAUCAAUAAGCGGAGGAAAAGAAACCAACAGGGAUUGCCUCAGUAACGGCGAGUGAAGCGGCAACAGCUCAAAUUUGAAAUCUGGCCUUAAGCGGGGUCCGAAUUGUAAUUUGCAGAGGGCGUUUCGGGCGACGCGCCGGUCUAAGUCCCUUGGAACGGGGCGUCAUAGAGGGUGAGAAUCCCGUAUGUGACCGGCGACCGAGCCUGUGUGAAACCCCUUCGACGAGUCGAGUUGUUUGGGAAUGCAGCUCAAAGCGGGUGGUAAAUUUCAUCUAAAGCUAAAUACCGGCCAGAGACCGAUAGCGCACAAGUAGAGUGAUCGAAAGAUGAAAAGCACUUUGGAAAGAGAGUCAAAAAGUACGUGAAAUUGUUGAAAGGGAAGCGCUUGCAACCAGACCUGCCCGCGGGUGAUCAGCCGUCCUUCGGGGCGGUGCACUCACCCGCGAUCAGGCCAGCAUCGGUUCGGGCGGCCGGAUAAAGGCCUUGGGAACGUGGCUCCCCUCGGGGAGCGUUAUAGCCCAGGGUGCAAUGCGGCCCGCCCGGACCGAGGACCGCGCUUCGGCUAGGAUGCUGGCGUAAUGGUUGUAAGCGGCCCGUCUUGAAACACGGACCAAGGAGUCGACCAACCGUGCGAGUGUUUGGGCGUCAAACCCACACGCGCAAUGAAAGUGAACGGAGGUGGGAACCCCUCGCGGGGCGCACCAUCGACCGAUCCAGAUGUCUUCGGAUGGAUUUGAGUACGAGCAUGGCUGGUCGGACCCGAAAGAUGGUGAACUAUGCCUGGAUAGGGUGAAGCCAGAGGAAACUCUGGUGGAGGCUCGCAGCGGUUCUGACGUGCAAAUCGAUCGUCAAAUUUGGGCAUAGGGGCGAAAGACUAAUCGAACCAUCUAGUAGCUGGUUCCAGCC
rnacentral:rRNA from 1 species